GACGAACGCUGGCGGCGUGCCUAAUACAUGCAAGUAGAACGCUGAAGGAGGAGCUUGCUCUUCUGGAUGAGUUGCGAACGGGUGAGUAACGCGUAGGUAACCUGCCUGGUAGCGGGGGAUAACUAUUGGAAACGAUAGCUAAUACCGCAUAAGAGUAGAUGUUGCAUGACAUUUGCUUAAAAGGUGCAAUUGCAUCACUACCAGAUGGACCUGCGUUGUAUUAGCUAGUUGGUGAGGUAACGGCUCACCAAGGCAACGAUACAUAGCCGACCUGAGAGGGUGAUCGGCCACACUGGGACUGAGACACGGCCCAGACUCCUACGGGAGGCAGCAGUAGGGAAUCUUCGGCAAUGGACGGAAGUCUGACCGAGCAACGCCGCGUGAGUGAAGAAGGUUUUCGGAUCGUAAAGCUCUGUUGUAAGAGAAGAACGAGUGUGAGAGGGAAAGUUCACA
rnacentral:rRNA from 1 species